GUCCACGCCGUAAACGAUGAUUACUGGACAUCGGCGAUAAACUGUCGGUGUCUGAGCGAAAGUAUUAAGUAAUCCACCUGGGGAGUACGAUCGCAAGAUUGAAACUCAAAGGAAUUGACGGGGGCCCGCACAAGCGGUGGAGCAUGUGGUUUAAUUCGAUGAUACGCGAGGAACCUUACCUGGGCUUAAAUGCAGGGCGAUUAAAUGAGAAAUCAUUUUUCCUUCGGGCGACCUGCAAGGUGCUGCAUGGCU
rnacentral:rRNA from 1 species